GAUGAACGCUGGCGGCGUGCCUAAUACAUGCAAGUCGAGCGAACAGACGAGGAGCUUGCUCCUCUGACGUUAGCGGCGGACGGGUGAGUAACACGUGGAUAACCUACCUAUAAGACUGGGAUAACUUCGGGAAACCGGAGCUAAUACCGGAUAAUAUAUUGAACCGCAUGGUUCAAUAGUGAAAGACGGUUUUGCUGUCACUUAUAGAUGGAUCCGCGCCGCAUUAGCUAGUUGGUAAGGUAACGGCUUACCAAGGCAACGAUGCGUAGCCGACCUGAGAGGGUGAUCGGCCACACUGGAACUGAGAAACGGUCCAGACUCCUACGGGAGGCAGCAGUAGGGAAUCUUCCGCAAUGGGCGAAAGCCUGACGGAGCAACGCCGCGUGAGUGAUGAAGGUCUUCGGAUCCUAAAACUCUGUUAUUAGGGAAGAACAAAUGUGUAAGUAACUAUUCACGUCUUGACGGUACCUAAUCAGAAAGCCACGGCUAACUACGUG
rnacentral:rRNA from 1 species